rnacentral:rRNA from 1 species
UACGUAGGGUGCAAGCGUUAAUCGGAAUUACUGGGCGUAAAGCGUGCGCAGGCGGCUUUGCAAGACAGAUGUGAAAUCCCCGGGCUCAACCUGGGAACUGCAUUUGUGACUGCAAGGCUAGGGUACGGUAGAGGGGGAUGGAAUUCCGCGUGUAGCAGUGAAAUGCGUAGAUAUGCGGAGGAACACCGAUGGCGAAGGCAAUCCCCUGGACCUGUACUGACGCUCAUGCACGAAAGCGUGGGGAGCAAACAGG